CUGGGGUUUGGCAGGAUGUCUUCAUUGUGCCAUUAGCAUUGAACAGGGUUAGUGUUGUAGUGAAAGGGGCAAAAGGGUUAAAAUGAAAUGGUAUUAGUUCAACCAAGAACCAUGUCAUACUUUAAUUGGCCAUUUUUUCUGGGUAAGCUAUUAAUAUAAUUUUUGUAUAACAGUCAAGUGUAGUAGUAAGAAAAUUGAAACGAUACGGUCAUGUUAUAUAUACUACUGUAUAGCCCAUGCAUGUAAGUACAAAAGUAUUUCCCUAACUGUAUAGGCUGCAAACAAGAAAGAUCAGCUUUCAUAUCUUCUUUGCUAUCUCGUGACAACCUGCAACUUUCUGUCCUUCAUGCUCAUUUGCUUAAUCCAUUUUAGUACUUUCAAGGUAUGCUAUGUUAUCCGAUACGUGCCUGCUAAUGUUUCACAUGCCAUCAUCGUUAAGAAAUUGGAAUCUAGUAUUAAUUCAAUUAAGAAACAUGUCAUACAUCAAUUGAUCGAUGAAAACUUAACCACAGACCUAUUCUUUCCUGGGUUUAGCUUUUGGGAAUUGUGUUUUUCCUUCCAUGCAGGCUUGUUUAAGCAUUUGCAAGAGUAACCUAUUCUUAGUGAGGUGAGUCUCAAUAAGGUACAGCAAUUUGCAUUACUUUUAUAACCACAAUCUGCGUAGCCUUUGGUCAGUUGUGGGUUUGUCAUACUUUCUCAGAGUACUGUUGAUUUUCUAACCGAAUUCCAUAACCUUGCAUGCAACUUGGAUGAUGCACGGAAAAUUUAAGCUUCACAAUAUCAACUCAGUGACACACAGAAUUGUAAAAAAAUACCAGCCUUCCUUCAGAGCGUACUCAUGGCAAAGCAUUGGUUCGACCGGUUUGGCUUUGUGUCUUUUCACAUUGCAAAACAUAGUCCUAAAAAAGGAUGUCAGUUGGGCUCUUGAUUGAGGGGUGAACGUUUAAAGAACUUGUGUUAUCAUUCGGAAAAUUUUGCCUUGCUCUAAAUUUUUCCUUGCUCUACUGUGUUCUUUUAACCUUUCUUCAUGUCAAGACCCAGAAACUUCAUUUGUAUUUACACCGUUGCAGCUCCCUGCAUCAUUACACCCAGUCAUUGCGAAUUUUCUUUGCCAUUUUCACAUCGUCACUUGUCCAGGAUCAGGUUGUUGCAUUAACAUUCAAGUUUGGAUACAAGCAGCAUUCUUGAAUCCUCAGUCAUAUGUGGUUAUCCAAGAGCUUAGAAAUGGCACGCCUUAAGUCACACAGGAAAUAAUAGCAGGAAUCUACUUUAUGGAGAUCCUAAGAGGCUUACACCAUAGGGGAUUGCUAGCAAGAUUUAUAUUGGUGAAGCUCAUUGUGUAAGUCAAUGGGGACAUGACUUCUGUCCAGAUUACCAAGGUCUCGUAUGGCUCAAUCAGAACGUCCCUAGAGUCUUAAUCAUGGCUUUAACUGCAACAGCAGCUAGCGAUUUUGGUAAGGGACUAAAGCACUUCCCUCCUGUUACCACCAUAUAAGCAUUUCCCUCCCCGUUGCAACUCUACAGCUUGGUGCAGAAAUCGUUAGCUCUAGUUUUGGAUGGAAUCCUGCUUAUGUUUACAUCCCUUUCUCCUCCAUCAUGCGUAUUGGUCAAAUGCUGGACCAUGCAUCAAUCUUGAACAAUAUCAUGGGGGCAUUUGACCGCCGGUGACAUUACAUCCGAAGACUUAUUUCUUUCUCAAAAGGUGAGAAUUGAUACUACAUGAAAAAAGGUGUUUGAAACAACUUUAUUCAUACAAAUCUCUUAUCUACACGUUUUGUUCUCCCCACCAGUAGAUUGUAGCUACUCAUAGUGGUAACGCUUGUCUUUUCAUGCUUAGCAUUUUCGCAUAUAUGGAGCAGCAGAGUCUGCUGAUAUAUUACAAAUAAUUGCAUGAUUCUGCUGGCAUUCAAAAAAUGGUAUCUUGAAAGUUUCAAAAAAAGAAAAAAAAGUGAAUACAUACACAUGCUAUUCACAUAUCUGCAGAGUUGUGCUAGAUAAUAUGUUAUUCCCUCUGUUCCAUAAUUCUUGUCAUGAUUGUAGUUCAAGUUUGAACUAAAACAAACGACAAGAAUUAUGGAACAGAGGGAGCACUAUAUUGUAGGCUACACAAAAAUCGUGGCUUUGGAAAGACAAAAAACAACUCAUUUUUAACUUACAAAAGAUUUGUCUUUUUUGUGCAUAUCACAUAUGAAAAGAUAUUUGGAUGAAACCUUGGUCGUACAAACUAUACACUUGUCUGUUUUCUUAUCAGAAUAUUUGGAGACAUGUAUUUUAAAAUGAACUUUUCAAAAUAAAAUAAAUAGAAAGCAAGAUCAGUGGAGCUUGGGAGCUACAAAUUAUUGGCAUGUGCUUCCAUAGACCCACAAGACUGAAACGUUUUACACUGUUUAAAAUUUGGGGGUCUAUGGAAGCACAAAUCUUCUUAAAUAAAUAGCAAAAUAAAUAAACAUAGUAUUGGGGCAACUCAUCUUAAAAUGAAUUGAUGGAGUACAUAGUUCAGAGAUUUGAAAAUGAUGGACAUUAUGUGUUAUUACAGCCUGCUUGCGCAACCAGUAGAGCUUUUGGGAUGUUAGCUACCAUUUCUAAGACACAGACACUUCUGUAGAUGGCGAGCUUCUGACCGCCUCCAGGCAGAGGCUGGACUUGGCGUGCAAGAUGAUCCCCAACACCUCGCUCAUGUCCAGUGUCUCCGGGCCUGCCCCAGCCGGAAUCGCCCAGUCAAAGUGGUACAAGAGGUUAGCCAGCACAAGCUCGAUGGUGGAGGUGGCGAACAGGGCCCCGGGGCACUGCCUACGGCCCGCUCCAAACGGGAUGAACUCCAUCUGUGCCCCCUGCUUGUACUCCACGCUGGUGGCGCCGGUCUCCUCGAACCUCUCCGGCCUGAACUCCUCCGCGUCCUCCCCCCAGUGUGCCGGGUCC